rnacentral:rRNA from 1 species
AACGAACGCUGGCGGCAUGCCUAACACAUGCAAGUCGAACGAGACCUGCGGGUCUAGCGGCGCACGGGUGCGUAACGCGUGGGAACCUGCCCGUAGGUUCGGAAUAACUUCGCGAAAGGGGUGCAAAUACCGGAUAAUGUCAUCGGACCAAAGAUUUAUCGCCUUUGGAUGGGCCCGCGUUGGAUUAGCUAGUUGGUAGGGUAAAAGCCUACCAAGGCGACGAUCCAUAGCUGGUCUGAGAGGAUGAUCAGCCACACUGGGACUGAGACACGGCCCAGACUCCUACGGGAGGCAGCAGUGGGGAAUAUUGGACAAUGGGCGAAAGACUGAGCCAGCAAUGCCGCGUGAGUGAUGAAGGACUUAGGAUUGUAAAGCUCUUUUAACAGGGAUGAUAAUGACAGUACCGGGAGAAUAAGCGCCGGCUAACUCCGUG